AAUGAAAACUGAAGUGUUUCUCUGAUGCCAGUUUUGUGCUAACUUCUCAGCUACAAGCUCCAGCCAGAGAGUUUACAUUGAAGUACAAUGACACUGAUUCAGAGUUAAGGUCAAGUGAGAGCUUCAUCACUGCAGGUCCCUGAGGGAUCUUGCUGGCUACUUGAAGAUUCAAAGAGCAAAACUUUGGGAUCAGGAGACCUCUGAGCAAAAGCUUUCUCCAGAGGGGACACGGUCCUGAGGCCUGGUCGACAGGCUGCACCCCAUGGGGGCCCACAUUAUUUGGAUAGCAGAAGAUUGGAAAUCAGGAAAAAGAAAAUUAUUAAUGAACAGAUUCAAUCUUGUGUUAAUCUCCUCAAUGGCGGUGUACCUACCCAGCAUUCCCCGCGGUGAU